rnacentral:tRNA from 1 species
GGAGGGUUGGCCGAGCGGUUGAAGGCGGCGGUCUUGAAAACCGCUGUGGGGUCCGUCCCCACCGGGGGUUCGAAUCCCUCACCCUCCGCCA